GUGUCAGCAGCCGCGGUAAUACAGAGGGUGCGAGCGUUGUCCGGAAUCACUGGGCGUAAAGGGCGUGUAGGCGGCUGAUUAAGCCGCGUGUGAAAUCCCGGGGCUCAACCCCGGAACGGCACGCGGGACUGGUCGGCUAGAGACUGGUAGAGGCGAGUGGAAUUCCUGGUGUAGCGGUGGAAUGCGUAGAGAUCAGGAAGAACACCGGUGGCGAAGGCGGCUCGCUGGGCCAGUUCUGACGCUGAGGCGCGAAAGCGUGGGGAGCAAACAGGAUUAGAUACCCUGGUAGUCCACGCUGUAAACGAUGGGUGCUAGGCGUCGGGGGGAGCGACCCUCCCGGUGCCGUCGCUAACGCAAUAAGCACCCCGCCUGGGGAGUACGGCCGCAAGGUUGAA
rnacentral:rRNA from 1 species